rnacentral:rRNA from 1 species
AUUGAACGCUGGCGGCAUGCCUUACACAUGCAAGUCGAACGGCAGCACGGGUGCUUGCACCUGGUGGCGAGUGGCGAACGGGUGAGUAAUACAUCGGAACGUACCUUAUCGUGGGGGAUAACGCAGCGAAAGCUGUGCUAAUACCGCAUACGCCCUGAGGGGGAAAGCGGGGGAUCGCAAGACCUCGCGUGAUUAGAGCGGCCGAUGCCUGAUUAGCUUGUUGGUGGGGUAAAAGCCCACCAAGGCGACGAUCAGUAGCUGGUCUGAGAGGACGAUCAGCCACACUGGGACUGAGACACGGCCCAGACUCCUACGGGAGGCAGCAGUGGGGAAUUUUGGACAAUGGGGGCAACCCUGAUCCAGCAAUGUCGCGUGAGUGAAGAAGGCCUUCGGGUUGUAAAGCUCUUUUGUCAGGGAAGAAACACCGGCUCUAACACAGUCCGGGAAUGACGGUACCUGAAGAAUAAGCACCGGCUAACUACGUGCCAGCCGCCGCCGUAA